GGUCAAGAAAAAAUGUGAUGACCAGACUCCAUAUGAUUCUACAAAAACGCAGCAAACAUCAUGCCCUCCGUUCGAGAACAAAAAGAACGGGAAAAUGGUUGGAGAAUCUCUGCUUGAAGGUGCCACUAAGAAUGUGACCUGCCACCCCGGAUACAGUCCUCGAGACAUAAAUAACGUUGUCAGCCAAUGUAAAAAUAGCCAAUGGACGAAAAUUACGGAGUGUGCUAUAGUGUGCCCUACUUUUGAGAACAACAACAACGGUAAAGUUGAAGGAGACUCUCUGUUUGAAGGUGCAACUAGAAAUUUGACUUGCAAUCCCGGAUACAGUCCCCGAGACAGCAAUGCUGUAUUGAGCCUUUGUCAAAAUGGCCAAUGGACAAAAAUAACGGAAUGUA